CGUCUUCAUGAUCAUCUUUAGCAGUGUCACUGGCUCAGCACUCUCCGUCUUUCAGACUUUCGGGUGACAGCUUUUCCAGGAGGGCUGAAGCUGCAUUCCAAAUUGAUAUUUGUGGCAGCUUGGAUUCCGGGCUAGAGCCAUGCCUAGGGCGAGCCAAAUUCUGCAGUUUGAUACGAAUUUAGUGUGCCUUCUCUGAUUUCAGUUGAUGUCCAUAAUGAUCCUUUCAUUCUGCAUAAAAGCCGGAGGAGAGGCUGUCAGUCAUGGAACCAAUAAUCAGCUCCGUGAAUGUUGGAGAUAAUGAAUGGAACCUAGUGGAGAAGGACAUCAUAAGGUUAUGACAACCCUCUGCAAACAGUUUUUCUUCCAGCAGUUUCAAAGUUCCUGGUCUUACGUGGAGUUCAUGGUACACUGACACUUGACGUGUACACAGGAUAAGAGGCACCAGCAAGAUGACCCAGCAAGUGAUGAUGUCUGCUCUAAGAACCUGAGUUUGAUUCCUGUGAUCCAGAUGGUGGAAGGAGAGAAGAGACCCCAAUCAGUUGCUUUGUGACCUCCACAGGCAGGCUGUGGCACAUUUGAGCCCCAACAUAUACUCAUCUACAUAGAAAAAUUAAUAAAACAUAACUUGAAUUUUAAAAUAAUUCAUAUCCAAUAUAUAACUGUUUGGACUCUAGUUCUGCACAUGAAAGAGAUAUUUACCAAUGAUUACAUAUUUUAAGAAGCAGAAACAUAAACUUCAACCUGAGACAGCCUUCCUAAUCUCUCUGUUAUGCUGACUUCUAAAAGGAAAGAUAAUUUAUUAGCCUACUGUGUUUUAUAGAAAGAACAAAACUGGAAUUUUUGUUUUUCCUUAUUGAUGUAGGUGUAUUGAAAAUAAUCUGAUCUAUUGUCUAACUAAAUUAACUGGGCAAUAAUUCUCCUUUCCAUUUGUCCCGCAGCUUGUAAUUAGGUACAAGUUCAUAACAGCUCUACAAAAAAAAUUCUGUUUUGUUUUAAAAAACUUGCAAUAAAAAGAAAUGACAUGG